rnacentral:tRNA from 1 species
AUCGCGUCGGCCGGGUCGAGGCCCGCCGCUUCCAGGGCGGCCCGGAAACCACGCAGCCGUUCGCGGCGGUUGACGCUGUU